rnacentral:rRNA from 1 species
UAGGGAAUCUUCGGCAAUGGACGAAAGUCUGACCGAGCAACGCCGCGUGAGUGAAGAAGGUUUUCGGAUCGUAAAACUCUGUUGUUAGAGAAGAACAAGGACGUUAGUAACUGAACGUCCCCUGACGGUAUCUAACCAGAAAGCCACGGCUAACUACGUGCCAGCAGCCGCGGUAAUACGUAGGUGGCAAGCGUUGUCCGGAUUUAUUGGGCGUAAAGCGAGCGCAGGCGGUUUCUUAAGUCUGAUGUGAAAGCCCCCGGAUCAACCGGGGAGGGUCAUUGGAAACUGGGAGACUGGAGUGCAGAAGAGGAGAGUGGAAUUCCAUGUGUAGCGGUGAAAUGCGUAGAUAUAUGGAGGAACACCAGUGGCGAAGGCGGCUCUCUGGUCUGUAACUAACGCUGAGGCUCGAAAGCGUGGGGAGCAAACAGG